rnacentral:lncRNA from 1 species
CCCAAUCCGUCCAAUCCCCGCCCCAUUUCUCCCCAUUCCGGCGGCGGCGCCGUCGGACCGGCCGCUCGCGGCGAUCGACUGCGGCCGACGGCUCCGGGCUCCCGGUAUCUCUCGCCCCCCCUCUCUCCCGCGCGCGUGUCUGCGGGUACUCGUUUUCUGAAUUUUUUGUUGUUGCUUCUGGUGUUUGAUGGCGCAGGGUCUGGACUCUGGAGGAGGAGUCGAGCGGCAUUGCUGGAUUCGGCGGCAGUCGUCGAGUCGGAGGAGGCGCCUGACUGGCUGGCAGGUGAGCAAUGCUCUUCGUGUGGUUAAAAGUCGGGCGCGGCGGGGGUCGAGUCUAGCAGACGGAUUUGGUUGUUAGUUGUUGGUUGUUUGUGUGUGGCUUGCCAAUCUGAGUGAUAAUAAUACUGUGUGUGGUGAUCUGAGUGCACUCCCGGCGUUUGAUUUUGGUUCGAUUCGAUGCGCGUUUUGGAUUGGGCGAGGUGUUUCUUAAUUUGGUGGGUUAGGUGAUUGGGCUAUUCUAAUCUUAGCCUUCUGCCACGCUGGGACAACCUAAUCUGUAUGUAUGUUGAGUUAAGUAAGACGCCAUGGAGUCUCUCCCUCCCAGUCGAUGAACUGGGUAUUUCAGUCAAAGGGACAAGAAAGAGCAACUGAAUUUGGGUGACAAUCUAAUAUUAGGAUGCCAAAUUGCGGCUGGCCGAUGGAACGCCUGAACCUAACCUAUAUGCUAUGUUCAGUAAAGCAGAUGCUGUGGACACUUCUAGUUGAUCAACUCUUUGUUAUAUUCCAGUCCAGUCAAAAGAUGGAGAAUGAAACCGGCCUUCUGAACCCGAACCAAAGUGGUCAGGGGAUUGGCUGUUUCUAAUCUUAGCUUGCGACACUGCGGAUAGAUUGAGUGCCUGAACCUGUUCUGUAUGUUGAGUGAACUAGACAUGAUAAACUGGUUGGUUCAGUCAAAAGAAGAAGAUAAAAUAAUUGGAUUUGGGUGAUGUUCUAAUAUUAGGACGCCACGUUGCGGGCAGAUGGAAUGCCUCAACCUAUGUGUUCAGUAAAGCAGAUGCUACGGGCUCUUCUAGUCGAUGAACUGUUUGGCUUUUGAAGCUGAACAAACAGUAUGAACUCUGAAGUAUUUAAGGGCCUGUCCAAGUGUUUAAACAAUUUUCUGGCUGUCAAGUGAAAUUGCUUAACUCACUGACAAUGGCCAGAUUUGUUUAUCCUUUAGAUUCUUCAUUCAUGUCUCCCAUGGGAUCUGUCAGAUAUAUAUAUUCCAUUCUGUACUCUUUUACACUACAGUCAACCUCUUGCAUCUAAGAUUCACAGCUUUGUUUUAAUCAAGCACUUCAUCUGCUCCAGUUAUGUACUGAUAAAUAAUGAAGCCACCUUGCUCCUUCUAUUUGAACUUACAAUGGAUUCACUUUGUCUUUGCCCCAUGUUAACAUUUUCUUCAUGUGGCGUUUAAUUACGUAGGGUUUGGAGGAGGAAUCAAGCUGCAUUGCUGGAUUCGGCGGCACUCGUCGAGUUGGAGGAGGUGUCUGACUGACAGGUGAGUAAUACUCUUUGUGUGGUUAAAAGUCGUGAUGAGUCGGGCCUGGUAGAUGGAUUUGGUGCUAUGCUUGUUAGUUGUCUAUGCGCGGUCUGCCAAUCUUAGUAAUAUUGUGCAUGGUGAUCUGGCGGGAGAUGUCUGAGUGCACUCCUGGUGUUUGAUUUUGAUUCGAUGCGCGUUUUGGAUUGGGCGAGGUGCUUCUUAAUUUGGUGGGUUUGGUGAUUUGGCUAUUCUAAUCUUAGCCUGCUGUGACGCUGGGACAACCUAAUCUGUAUGUAUGUUGAGUUAAAUAGACGCCAUGGAGUCUCCCUCCCAGUCGAUGAACUGGUUGUUUCAGUCGAAAGAAGAGGAAAGUGCGCCUGGAUUAGGGUGAUAAUCUAUUAGGAUGCCACGCGGCGGCCGAUAGAAUGCCUGAACCUGACCUGUAUGUUAUGUUCAGUAAAGCAGAUGCUGUGGACUCUUCUAGUUGAUCAACUCUUGGUUAUAUUCCAGUCCAGUCAAAAGAUGGGGAAUAAAACUGGCCUUUUGAAGCUGAACCCAAGUGCUUAGGCGAUUGGCUGUUUCUAAUCUUAGCCUGCGACACUGCGGAUAGAUUGAGUGCCUGAACCUGAUCUGCAUGUUGAGUGAACUAGACGUGAUAAACUGGUUGGUUCAGUCAAAAGAAGAAGAUAAAAUAGUUUGAUUUGGGUGAUAUUCUAAUAUUAGGACGCCACGUUGCGGCCAGAUGGAAUGCCUCAACCUAUGUGUUCAGUAAAGCAGAUGCUAUGGGCUCUUCUAGUCGAUGAACUGUUUGGCUUUUGAAGCUGAACAAACAGUAUGAACUCUGAAGUGUUUAAGGGCCUGUCCAAUUGCUUAAUUCACUGUGACUCGUUGACAAUGACAAGAUUUGUUUAUCCUUUAGAUUCUUCAUGUCUCCAUGGGAUCUCUCAGAUAUGUAUUCUCUUUUUAAAAGUUUGUCAGAUAUAUAUUCCAUUCUGCACUCUUUUACACUACAGUCAACCUCUUGUAUCUGAUAUUCGCAGGCUUUGUUUUAAUCAAGCACUUCAUUUCCUGCAGUUAUAUAUAGAAAAUAGAGGUGAGAUCUGCAUCAUGCAUGCAGGAAAAGGGUGAUGAUGCUUGCAUAGUUACAAUGCAGUAACACAGCUUGGGCUAAAUGCACGCACAUACACAAAUUAUAUAGCUUUAAGACUUUAACUAAUUGGCAUAAUCUGCAGGGCCACCUAAGCUUUCUUCCAGACCUAGUUUUGGGUGAGGAUCCAUAUUUUGUUUGGCCAAUAUUCUUUCCGUCUUGGGUACUCAACCUUGAUAGAAAGUUUUUAUAAACAUAUGUACAAAUAAUUAGGGGCUUUCUUUGUAUCCACA